rnacentral:rRNA from 1 species
UACCAGCACCCCGAGUGGUCGGGACGAUUAUUGGGCCUAAAGCAUCCGUAGCCGGUUUUACAAGUCCCCCGUUAAAUCCAACUGCUUAACAGAUGGGCUGCGGAGGAUACUAUAGAGCUAGGAGGCGGGAGAGGCAAGCGGUACUUAGUGGGUAGGGGUAAAAUCCGUUGAUCCAUUGAAGACCACCAGUGGCGAAGGCGGCUUGCCAGAACGCACUCGACGGUGAGGGAUGAAAGCUGGGGGAGCAAACCGG